UUGUGAUGCACUUCCACUAUUCCUUGGCUUAUAACCACCACGCGUAAGUCGAAAGAAAAAGAAGAGCACCAGAUCACCUUAAUAAAAAUUGCCGUAUGCAUAUAAUGGACGUAUUGAUAAACGUAGGUUACAAUCCAUAAAUACAUAUUAUGAAACCAACAUCUAUGUUCUUCUGGGCAACCUAAUAAGUAUACAAAUCAGUGAAUGUACGUAUGUUCCAUUAAAUUAAAGGUCAGUUUGGGUUUUGAAUGCAAGUGCUGAUAGAAGAUAAUUCCGGGUAUCCCAACAACCCAUUGUUUCCUUUGGCAUCAUCACCAAAUCCGGCAAGGAGGUAGGCACUAAGAAACCAAACUGAUUACGUUAGUAACCCCUUCGUCCAACAGAAGAACAACUUAGGAAAAAUAAGAAGAGGCGGACAGAUUUUCCUGACCAGCAGUGAAUGGGUCAGCCAUGGCUCAGGCUCCCAAUCGCGUAGAAGAUCAGGGGAAAAAGCAGAUCCCCUCCGACCAGUUUUUAUCAGUAAAAGAGGAGGCGGCUCCUGAGAAGAAACAAAAAUAUAUAAUAUAGCAGUUAACACAAAAUCCAAUGUCAGAGUAAGCAAUAUAGUAUACACUAACAGUCUGAAACAUGCCUUAUGGUAGCUUGUAAGAGCGGGGAUAUGUGAGCAUACACCGCGCCAUUCAAUUUUGUUACCGAAAUCAUUACAAGAAAAUAUGCAGAUUUUUAAAACAUGUAAAAAGAGAGGACAACUGUUAUUGUGAGAUGCACUACUCAAAGUAAGGUUACAGUUUUCUGUCAGUCUUCAGUGGGUAUAUUAUUGCUCUUGAGUGAGAUAGCAGAAUUUUUUUAGCCUGAGAAAUCAUUGCUCAUUAUUAUUUGUACUUAGAUCCAUGGGUGGUAUGGUACAAGAUACAUUCGGCUGUAACCUUGAUACCAUAUUAAGUACAGUAAUGGUCAUAAAUAACACUGCAAAUAACCAUCCAGUAAUUGAAAUAGUAGUGUAAUCAAAUUCAUAUGUCUCCCAACCAUUGAAGGAAUUUGAAGUACUUAUACCUAUAAAUUGAAGCAGAUAAUUGCAGCAAAUCCUAGAUUAUAUCCUACAGAUUGCUCUUAGCUGGGCACAUGCCUGUUAGUGCAGAUUGCACAAUGGCUGAACCUAACAAACCAUGUUACAUCUCCAAUACAGUCAGUGACCAUGCAUCAUAAGCCUUCAAACAGCUACAGAAAAAGAGACGUGCGAAAGAAGAGAAAGAAAAGAGACGCGGUCAACUAUACUCGAGCUCCAGACGGAUCGCCUCUCUCCGUCACCACGCACGAGGGAUGAGGACGACGGCGGCGACACCACGGACUGCUCGGCCUCCUGGUCCGUCUCUCCGACGCCAGGGUGUCCAAUUUUUGGUAGCAUCAUUGAGAAGCAACAAUCAAAUAUUGCGUAUACUCUCGAAGCCGAGGGACUACUGAAGUGAAAAUUCAGCAGAUUAAGCUUCAUGUUCAGAUCCUUUUAUAGUUUCUAAACCUUUAAUCUGUGUGGUCAUCUUUUUCAUUACCAGAACAGAGGAAUUAUAACAAAAUAAAGGGUAGAACUAACCUAAGGUUUUAUUGCCACUAAUCCUUCUAUAGUUUUUCAAUGGUUCAGUUAUCAUGAUUUGAUGGCUAGUCUUGUAGAAAGGAGUAAAGUUCGUAUAGAAAUCUUAAGAACACAAUAACUAAACUGAAGUAUAACCUUCUGAAUCCUUUAAGACGUGAUUUCAUAUUAACAAGUGCAACAAGAUAAAACAACAAAACACACCUCCGCAACGGAAAGGCACAUCGAACGAAGUGAAGACGAACAGGACAGACGAUUGACGAACGAUGACAAACUGCGUGCUCACUUCACACCGACCCGGGGAAACAUAACAUAUAUGGGCACAAAGAGGAGAGAAAAUACAACCGAUGCAAAGGAGAGGGAGGUGAACUCACAAUUCCUCCUCGGCUAGUUUCAUCGACAAUGCUCUGGCUUCACCAUCUAUCCGAAAGUGAAAUUAACAUAUUAGAGUAACAAUAAAAAGAAGUGCUACCAAGAACGUACAAAAUAGAGGUAAAAGCGCUAGGGAAUCUCUGACAGGCGCUUGUUGCAAGCAUACAAAAAUGGAAAAGAAGGAUCCAAAAUUAUGAUUCAAAUCAUUGGCAGUUUCAUUGGCAUCUAUGAACCAAAUACUACAGAAAAUACAUGAUAUGCAUAUAACAUGUAAUCUUUCUCAUGUUAGCAUAUAAUAUAUCAAAAUGUGUGGUCAAUCAGUAAGAUAAUCAGGGUUUUAUAGCAGGUUAGUUUAUGAAUACUCACCUCACAAUGUCACCACUCCUUGUUCAUCUAGAAAUAACACUAUGGGUAAACUGAAGCAGCCCUUCACAUUUCACCAAAAUAUUCUAGCUUUCAAAAGUUCUGCAUAGUAACAGAAGAUAGGAAACAACUACUGAGAUGGCCUUAAAAUCACAAAGAAUCGAGAGGAAGAACACAAAUGGAGUUCAUAGUCCAAGAAAAGGCUGGGUAUUAUGUUUAGAUAUGAUGUCUGGGUCAUGUGCACCUACCCGUCUGCCAAAAUGAACUCCUCGACGCGGAAACAGCCUAGCCCCUAACGAUUUGGGACAUGCAACUUCGUCCUCUCUGCGAAGAAGAGGUCCACGCUGUCACCGUAUAGACACAAGCACCAUCCUGGUCUCCCUCUCCUUGAGCGCCUCAUUCUCCACCUUGCUGUCGGUGGAUGCGGUGGCAUGAGCCAGCGCACCUGGUACACCUCAUUGGUAUUAGCCCUUGAAAGGAACUAACUUAGGUUCGACCACGCAGAGCCCACCGUCUGCAC
rnacentral:lncRNA from 1 species